UACGUAGGGUGCGAGCGUUAAUCGGAAUUACUGGGCGUAAAGCGUGCGCAGGCGGCUUUGCAAGACAGAUGUGAAAUCCCCGGGCUUAACCUGGGAACUGCAUUUGUGACUGCAUGGCUGGAGUGCGGCAGAGGGGGAUGGAAUUCCGCGUGUAGCAGUGAAAUGCGUAGAUAUGCGGAGGAACACCAGUGGCGAAGGCGACUUCCUGGCCUGUUCUUGACGCUGAGGCGCGAAAGCUAGGGGAGCAAACGGG
rnacentral:rRNA from 1 species